CAGCUGAUUGUGGGAAAAAAAUUGGCGCCAAAUUACUUGUUUACAUUUUUACGUGGCGAUCGAGUAAAUUUGCUCAAAUAAAUUCGGCUAAAAAUGGAAAAUGAAGAUAAAGAAAAUUUAACUGCGUCCCCUGUGUUUCGUAGAAUAUAACAAAUGAACUGAGUUCUGCUGAGAAAAACUAACUAUGAAAGUUCGAGUUUUUGCAUAGCGAUCUCAUCGAUAUUUGGCGCAACAACAAUCGACAAAAAAAAUCUGUCUCACAUUGGAUUUACAGUAAAAUCAAUAACAACCAUUUGAAAAAUGAAAAAAAAGAGAAAUAGAUAAAAAAAUCAGUAAUUUUGAAUCCUUCAUUAAAAGAAACCUUCUGAAGUGCAACAAAAUGAUGGAAUGACGGUUUAUGACCACCCAUGCUAAAUGGAUGGCUUCUAAAAUAACAAUUAUUGUUGAUGAAAAUUGUAAGACACCAAAGAAAAUGGGACGUCCAACAUUACAUUAUACAAAUGCAGGGACAAGAUUAAAAAGGAAACUGGCGUCUGAUCUUGCAAAUGAUAAUAAUAAUAACACGAAUCUUCUUAUGCAUGCUGCGGCAGUUUCUGCUAAGAAAGAACGCAAGACCGACGUGGCUUUUGUCCUAACAAAAACAAUUAGAACACCUGAAUACCCGACUGAAUCGAAAAAGCAUCUUCAAUUGCAAAAGCCCAUUCCACUUUCACCAGAUGAAGCUUUAGCUUACCUCCUGGAAAAUUCACUCAACAAACAGCAGUAUACAAACACUAGACUUUUAAAUAAAA